GGAAUCUUGCGCAAUGGGCGAAAGCCUGACGCAGCAACGCCGCGUGCGGGAAGAAGGCUUUCGGGCUGUAAACCGCUUUCAGCAGGAACGAAAAUGACGGUACCUGCAGAAGAAGGAGCGGCCAACUAUGUGCCAGCAGCCGCGGUGAUACAUAGGCUUCAAGCGUUGUCCGGAUUUAUUGGGCGUAAAGAGUUCGUAGGCGGUCAAGUAAGUCGGGUGUGAAAAUUCUGGGCUUAACCCAGAGACGCCACCCGAUACUGCUUAACUUGAGUUCGAUAGGGGAGUGGGGAAUUCCUAGUGUAGCGGUGAAAUGCGCAGAUAUUAGGAGGAACACCGGUGGCGAAGGCGCCACUCUGGAUCGAUACUGACGCUGAGGAACGAAAGCAUGGGUAGCAAACAGGAUUAGAUACCCUGGUAGUCCAUGCCGUAAACGGUGGGCACUAGGUGUGGGAUUCUAUUAACGAAUUCCGCGCCGUCGCUAACGCAUUAAGUGCCCCGCCUGGGGAGUACGGUCGCAAGACUAAAACUCAAAUGAAUUGACGG
rnacentral:rRNA from 1 species